rnacentral:rRNA from 1 species
UACGUAGGGUGCAAGCGUUGUCCGGAAUUAUUGGGCGUAAAGAGCUCGUAGGCGGUCCGUCACGUCGGCUGUGAAAACCCGGGGCUCAACUCCGGGCCUGCAGUCGAUACGGGCGGACUAGAGUACUGCAGGGGAGACUGGAAUUCCUGGUGUAGCGGUGAAAUGCGCAGAUAUCAGGAGGAACACCGGUGGCGAAGGCGG